rnacentral:rRNA from 1 species
UACGUAGGUGGCGAGCGUUAUCCGGAUUUACUGGGUAUAAAGGGCGCGUAGGCGGGGAUGCAAGUCAGGUGUGAAAUCUAGGGGCUCAACCCCUAAACUGCACUUGAAACUGCGUUUCCUGAGUGUCGGAGAGGUUGACGGAAUUCCUAGUGUAGCGGUGAAAUGCGUAGAUAUUAGGAGGAACACCAGUGGCGAAGGCGGUCAACUGGACGAUAACUGACGCUGAGGCGCGAAAGCGUGGGGAGCAAAC